rnacentral:rRNA from 1 species
CCCUUAGAUGUUCUGGGCCGCACGCGCGCUACACUGACGAUGGCAACGAGUUUUUCCUUCGCCGAAAGGUGUGGGUAAUCUUUUGAAACAUCGUCGUGCUGGGGAUAGAUCAUUGCAAUUUUUGAUCUUGAACGAGGAAUUCCUAGUAAGCGCGAGUCAUCAGCUCGCGUUGAUUACGUCCCUGCCCUUUGUACACACCGCCCGUCGCUACUACCGAUUGAAUGGUUUAGUGAGGACUCCUGAUUGGCGCCGCCGCCCCGGCAACGGAGCAGCGGUCUGCCGAAAAGUUGUUCAAACUUGAUCAUUUAGAGGAAGUAAAAGUCGUAACA